rnacentral:lncRNA from 1 species
UGUUUUCAGAUAGAAUUUCCGUCUGUCUCCCAGGCUGGAGUGCAGUGGCACGAUCUCGACUCACUGCAACCUCCACCUCCUGGAUUCAAGUGAUUCUCCUGCCUCAGCCCCCUGCGUAGCUGGGAUUACAGGUGCCCACCACCAUGCCUGGCUAAUUUUUGUAUUUUUAGUAGAAACGGGGUUUCACCAUAUUGACCAGGCUGGUCUCCAACCCCUGACCUCAAGUGAUCCAACGACCUCGGCCUCCCAAAAUGUUGGGAUGACAGGCAUGAGCCACAGUGCCCAGCCAGUUUUCCAAUUGGAAACGGCCACCUGAAACUUUUUUUAAUGACUGUGAAAUAUGACUUGUCAUUAAAUGAUCAGAUUUUAAAAGACCUAGAAAACUCAAAAGAGGCCCUUGUUGAAUUAGAACACUGCUGCUAAAAUUGAAAGCAUGAUGGGGAAACUGAGGCCUGGAGUAACCAGUCAUAUUGCUUCCAUGCUGGGAACUCUCCAAUGACAUAUCGCACAAUACAGAGCCAACCUCAAGUUCCCCACCAUAGACCACAAGGACUUGCAAGUUCUAACCUUGCCCAAUCUCCCUUAUACGCCCUCAGUCCAUGUGCCUCUGUGAUGAUGGAUUGGGUCCUUCUUGGCUUCCUCCAAAGGGGCAGAACUGCUCUGGAAGGUUCCUCAUGGCAUUGGCAAUGAU